rnacentral:rRNA from 2 species
AGACCCGAAACCCGGUGAUCUAGCCAUGGGCAGGUUGAAGGUUGGGUAACACUAACUGGAGGACCGAACCGACUAAUGUUGAAAAAUUAGCGGAUGACCUGUGGCUGGGGGUGAAAGGCCAAUCAAACCGGGAGAUAGCUGGUUCUCCCCGAAAGCUAUUUAGGUAGCGCCUCGUGAAUUCAUCUCCGGGGGUAGAGCACUGUUUCGGCUAGGGGGCCAUCCCGGCUUACCAACCCGAUGCAAACUGCGAAUACCGGAGAAUGUUAUCACGGGAGACACACGGCGGGUGCUAACGUCCGUCGUGAAGAGGGAAACAACCCAGACCGCCAGCUAAGGUCCCAAAGUCAUGGUUAAGUGGGAAACGAUGUGGGAAGGCCCAGACAGCCAGGAUGUUGGCUUAGAAGCAGCCAUCAUUUAAAGAAAGCGUAAUAGCUCACUGGUCGAGUCGGCCUGCGCGGAAGAUGUAACGGGGCUAAACCAUGCACCGAAGCUGCGGCAGCGACACUGUGUGUUGUUGGGUAGGGGAGCGUUCUGUAAGCCUGCGAAGGUGGCCUGUGAGGGUUGCUGGAGGUAUCAGAAGUGCGAAUGCUGACAUAAGUAACGAUAAAGCGGGUGAAAAGCCCGCUCGCCGGAAGACCAAGGGUUCCUGUCCAACGUUAAUCGGGGCAGGGUGAGUCGACCCCUAAGGCGAGGCCGAAAGGCGUAGUCGAUGGGAAACGGGUUAAUAUUCCCGUACUUGGUGUUACUGCGAAGGGGGGACGGAGAAGGCUAUGUUGGCCGGGCGACGGUUGUCCCGGUUUAAGCGUGUAGGUGUGUGUUCCAGGUAAAUCCGGUUCACUUUAACACUGAGGCGUGACGACGAGGCACUACGGUGCUGAAGCAACAAAUGCCCUGCUUCCAGGAAAAGCCUCUAAGCAUCAGGUAACAUCAAAUCGUACCCCAAACCGACACAGGUGGUCAGGUAGAGAAUACCAAGGCGCUUGAGAGAACUCGGGUGAAGGAACUAGGCAAAAUGGUGCCGUAACUUCGGGAGAAGGCACGCUGACACGUAGGUGAAGUGAUUUACUCAUGGAGCUGAAGUCAGUCGAAGAUACCAGCUGGCUGCAACUGUUUAUUAAAAACACAGCACUGUGCAAACACGAAAGUGGACGUAUACGGUGUGACGCCUGCCCGGUGCCGGAAGGUUAAUUGAUGGGGUCAGCGCAAGCGAAGCUCCUGAUCGAAGCCCCGGUAAACGGCGGCCGUAACUAUAACGGUCCUAAGGUAGCGAAAUUCCUUGUCGGGUAAGUUCCGACCUGCACGAAUGGCGUAAUGAUGGCCAGGCUGUCUCCACCCGAGACUCAGUGAAAUUGAACUCGCUGUGAAGAUGCAGUGUACCCGCGGCAAGACGGAAAGACCCCGUGAACCUUUACUAUAGCUUGACACUGAACAUUGAGCCUUGAUGUGUAGGAUAGGUGGGAGGCUUUGAAGUGUGGACGCCAGUCUGCAUGGAGCCGACCUUGAAAUACCACCCUUUAAUGUUUGAUGUUCUAACGUGGACCCGUUACCCGGGUUGCGGACAGUGUCUGGUGGGUAGUUUGACUGGGGCGGUCUCCUCCUAAAGAGUAACGGAGGAGCACGAAGGUUGGCUAAUCCUGGUCGGACAUCAGGAGGUUAGUGCAAUGGCAUAAGCCAGCUUGACUGCGAGCGUGACGGCGCGAGCAGGUGCGAAAGCAGGUCAUAGUGAUCCGGUGGUUCUGAAUGGAAGGGCCAUCGCUCAACGGAUAAAAGGUACUCCGGGGAUAACAGGCUGAUACCGCCCAAGAGUUCAUAUCGACGGCGGUGUUUGGCACCUCGAUGUCGGCUCAUCACAUCCUGGGGCUGAAGUAGGUCCCAAGGGUAUGGCUGUUCGCCAUUUAAAGUGGUACGCGAGCUGGGUUUAGAACGUCGUGAGACAGUUCGGUCCCUAUCUGCCGUGGGCGCUGGAGAACUGAGGGGGGCUGCUCCUAGUACGAGAGGACCGGAGUGGACGCAUCACUGGUGUUCGGGUUGUCAUGCCAAUGGCACUGCCCGGUAGCUAAAUGCGGAAGAGAUAAGUGCUGAAAGCAUCUAAGCACG